CACCCCCGCCCCUGUACAAGAUGCUUGUCUCCCCCUCUGUACCCAAUCCUUAUCUUCUUCCCUUCGGGGUACCAUUUUCCAAAGUGUCUCUUUAACCCCAAGGUCAAGGACUUAACAAUAGAGACAAGGUUUAGAUUUGGAGAGAUUUUAGAGUGGAAGGAAUAUUUUCAAAAUGAUUCAAAAUAAUAUUGAUGAUUAAAAUAGUAUUGCUGAUUUAUACAGCACCAGAUUCUAUGCAGAAGGGUGCUGAAAACACAUGAUCCAUGUCAAAUAAUGUGUGUGCUCAUUUUAUUCUCAACUCCCUGAGGAGUAUGUAAGCUUUAAUUUUGUCAAAGGUUGUGAUAAAUUUAUUGACAUUUUGUUAUAGUUCUAUAAAGAAUCUCUAAAAUUCAUUGGUUGAUCCUUAUCAUGUGAUGAAACAAUAAAUUUCAAUGCUGACCUAACAAUAGAAACUGACCCGAAAAGGUUUGGUCAAAUCACGUUUCUGACACUGACUUCGAAUAUUGAUUCUUCACAUGAUCACUCUUGUUUUGUACUUUCGUAAUAUUGAUCAAUACUGACAUGGUGUCCGUGAGUGGCAAUGUACAGUUUGCCAAUCUUUCUGAAGAUUAAUUUUUUUUCGAUAAAAUCCCUGCACCCCCACCCAUUCCCCUAGAAUAUAAAAUGGUCGGACCCUAAACAAAUAUUGUUUUCGUGUUUGAGUUGGACAUAUUGUCCUCUCCUCCCUUCCACUUGUAAGCAGACAGUGUAUACAUGUUUGAGUUGGAUGUAGGGACAGGGCAUCGCCUUGUGCCACCAGGAGUGUUACCGUGGUUACAUGAGUCAGUACAGGAUGAUGAUGAUGAGGGUGGGAACAUAGUUUCCUGGUAAGCGAAACAAUUUUGAGUCUACUAUUUCGAACAUGGCUCUGGACCUCACUUUCAUCCAACUUAGUGUUAACAUAUGGACUAUUAUUAGCUGAGCUUACCAGACCAAACAGAAUUUUACUAGACUCAGGCUUCGAAUUAGGGCUAAAUUCGCGUAGUGGUAAAACAAUAUGGGUGCAUGGAUACGAGUUGUGAAGAAAAUAUGAUUUUAUAGAGAUUUAUGAUGAUUCGAGAAAAUAUUUGUACAGUGUGAUUCUUCAAGCAACUAUAUGUAUGAAAGGGGAUGAUACAAAAUCAAAUAUACUGAACAAAUAAAGUUAGGGAUCAUGAAUAUUUCUGGGAUACUUUUUGGUUGUGAAGACAGCAUACAAUCUCAUAAAAAUAUUUAUGAUCCCUAACUUUUUUUGUUCAGUAUAUGUAAGGAGGACAUAUAUACAAAUGACUUUAUUAAAUACUAUUCCUGACAGUGUGUACUAAUUUGGUAAUGCGUUGUCUAAGUGUCUCAAGGUCUAUUACUGAAGCCCUUGCACCAGGCUCCAUUUGCUUAAUGUAGAAAUACUUGCUCUCAUGGAGACAGAAAAGUGGUCCAAGGCCACGUUCCACAAGGCGAUCGUAGCACUGCGACUGUCGUAAGUCUAUGUUAAAGUAUGGGAGUUAUGAUCAUCUUAGCGUUAUGGUCGCUUUGUGGAACGGGACCCAAACUUGUAGAGAACAUCUCUGGUCUGAAUGCAAUAUAAUGUUUUUUUAUGAUGGUGACCAAAGAUGACUUGUGAGUGACUGAAGCUGGUAGACCAGGUUCUGUCUCCGAUAUACAUCCUGUUGACUGACAAAAAUAAUAGUAUAUGUGGAUAUACAGUGUACAUGCUUGUCAGAAUAAACGUUUAUACAGUUUA